AUUGAACGCUGGCGGCAUGCUUUACACAUGCAAGUCGAACGGUAACAGGCCUUCGGGUGCUGACGAGUGGCGAACGGGUGAGUAAUGCAUCGGAACGUGCCCAAUCGUGGGGGAUAACGUAGCGAAAGUUACGCUAAUACCGCAUAAGCCCUGAGGGGGAAAGCAGGGGAUCGCAAGACCUUGCGCGAAUGGAGCGGCCGAUGUCAGAUUAGCUAGUUGGUGGGGUAAAGGCCUACCAAGGCGACGAUCUGUAGCGGGUCUGAGAGGAUGAUCCGCCACACUGGGACUGAGACACGGCCCAGACUCCUACGGGAGGCAGCAGUGGGGAAUUUUGGACAAUGGGCGCAAGCCUGAUCCAGCCAUGCCGCGUGCGGGACGAAGGCCUUCGGUUGUAACCGCUUUCAGCCGGAAGAAUACGCCAAGGCUAAUAUCCUUGGUGGAUGACGGUACCGGAAGAAGAAGACACCGGCUAACUACGUGCCAGCAGCCGCGGU
rnacentral:rRNA from 1 species